UCUCAUCAGACAUAUGAUUUGCAAGUAUUUUACCCAACUUUCUGGUUGUCUUUUUACUUUCUUGAUAGUGUUCUUUGAAGGAUAAAAAGUUUUAAUUUUG